rnacentral:rRNA from 1 species
UNCCAUGUGUAGCGGUGAAAUGCGUAGAUAUAUGGAGGANCACCAGUGGCGAAAGCGGCUCUCUGGUCUGUCACUGACGCUGAGGCUNGAAAGCGUGGGCAGCGAACGGGAUUAGAUACCCUGGUAGUNCACGCCGUAAACGAUGAGUGCUAGGUGUUAGGCCCUUUCCGGGGCUUAGUGCCGGAGCUAACGCAAUAAGCACUCCGCCUGGGGAGUACGACCGCAAGGUUGAAACUCAAAGGAAUUGACGGGGGCCCGCACAAGUGGUGGAGCAUGUGGUUUAAUUCGAAGCAACGCGAAGAACCUUACCAGGUCUUGACAUCCCGAUGCUAUUCUUAGAGAUAGGAAGUUACUUCGGUACAUCGGAGACAGGUGGUGCAUGGUUGUCGUCAGCUCGUGUCGUGAGAUGUUGGGUUAAGUCCCGCAACGAGCGCAACCCUUAUUGUUAGUUGCCAUCAUUAAGUUGGGCACUCUAGCGAGACUGCCGGUAAUAAACCGGAGGAAGGUGGGGAUGACGUCAAAUCAUCAUGCCCCUUAUGACCUGGGCUACACACGUGCUACAAUGGUCGGUACAACGAGUUGCGAGCCGGUGACGGCAAGCUAAUCUCUGAAAGCCGAUCUCAGUUCGGAUUGGAGGCUGCACCUCGCCUCCAUGAAGUCGGAAUCGCUAGUAAUCGCGGAUCAGCACGCCGCGGUGAAUACGUUCCCGGGCCUUGUACACACCGCCCGUCACACCACGAGAGUUUGUAACACC